CUACGGGGGGCUGCAGUCAAGAACCUUCCGCAAUGCACGAAAGUGUGACGGAGCGACGCCGCGUGAUUGAUGACGCCCUUCGGGGUGUAAAGAUCUUUUAUGAGGGAGGAAGUUAUUGACGUUACCUCAUGAAUAAGGGGCUCCUAAUCUCGUGCCAGCAGGAGCGGUAAUACGAGAGCCUCAAGCGUUAUCCGGAAUCAUUGGGCGUAAAGGGUGCGUAGGUUGUUAUAUUAGUCUUUUGUGAAAGAUCCCGGCUCAACCGGGAGAACGCAUUAGAAACGGUAUGACUUGAGAAUGUGAGAGGUGUACGGAACUCAUAGUGUAGGGGUGAAAUCCGUUGAUAUUAUGGGGAACACCAAAAGCGAAGGCAGUACGCUGGCACAUUUCUGACACUGAGGCACGAAACCCUGGGUAGCGAAUGGGAUUAGAUACCCUAGUAGUC
rnacentral:rRNA from 1 species